GGGGAUUUAGCUCAGUGGCAUAAGCUCCUGCCUGGCAAGCAUGAGGUCGUGAGUACAAUCCCCA
rnacentral:tRNA from 1 species